UGGCGGCCGUAGCGCGGUGGUCCCACCUGACCCCAUGCCGAACUCAGAAGUGAAACGCCGUAGCGCCGAUGGUAGUGUGGGGUCUCCCCAUGCGAGAGUAGGGAACUGCCAUGCA
rnacentral:rRNA from 1 species